rnacentral:rRNA from 1 species
CGCGUAGGCGGCCUUGUGUGUCGUGUGUGAAAGCCCCGGGCUCAACCCGGGAAGUGCACGCGAAACUGCAGGGCUUGAGCGGAGGAGGGGAGAGCGGAAUUCAUGGUGUAGCGGUGAAAUGCGUUGAUAUCAUGAGGAACACCGGUGGCGAAGGCGGCUCUCUGGAAUCCUGCUGACGCUGAGGCGCGAAAGUCGGGGGAGCAAACAG